CCACCUCCACCUCCACCUCCACCAGGGCCUCCACCUCCAUAUCCUCCGCCAGGCUAUCCACCUCCAGGCUAUCCACCUCCACCGCCACCACCGCCAGGGGCCCCUUAUCCCCCACCACCUCCGCCUGGUUAUCAAGAAUACUUCUAUGAAGGCUACCCUCCACAUCCUCCACCUUCCAUGGAGAACCGCCAAGAGGACACUGGUUGUUCUUCUUUUCUGAAGGGAUGGUAUGUAAUUCUUUAUCUUUGUAUUUUUUGGUUAAACUCUUUGUGAACGUAAGGCUGCAAAUCAAGAAAUGCGUUCUUUCAUUUGGAGUAUAUAUUUGAUUCGCUAACAGAUGAUCAGGAGCUAAUUAAUUCCUUUACAAUCCCGUCUCUUUUUUCAUUGGAUGUUAAGACUACCAAGUCAUUACAAUAUUUCUACAUAAUUCUCUCCAAGAACUUGAAUGUUCAUGACUUAUAUUACCUUCUAUAUCUCCAUAUGAUUUCGAUUGCAAUUGGAGCCAAAUUAAAAUUAAAAAAAAAAAACCCUUAUCAAACUUUGACAUAAUUUCAUUAAAGAUCAUGUAGUCCACACUCCACAGUACAGAGUACAGACUAAACAGCUCCACAAGUAAUUCACCAAACCCCUAAUGAAUUGGAAAGUAACAAAAGGCAGGCUAGCUUCAGCUUAUGGUUUACAGAGAGUGUGCUCCAAUUACAAUACCUUAUAUAUAGUUCACGAUUGUUGUCAGAAACACUUUUCUGAAAUAACAUUGUCUCAAGCUAGCUCUAAUAUAAUUUCCUGAGCUUGCACUGAAGAACUAGUUAUCUGGUAGUGUAUCUAAUGAACAUGUUUGCUAAAUUUUCAACCUGUUGGGAGAAAAGAGUAGA
rnacentral:misc_RNA from 1 species